ACCGGCGCACGGGUGCGUAACGCGUAUAGAACCUACCCUGUACAGGGGGAUAGCCCAGGGAAACUUGGAUUAAUACCCCGUGGAGAUCUUUUGUGGCAUCACAUAAAGGUUUAAAGUCUUCGGGCGGUACGGGAUGGCUAUGCGUCUUAUUAGUCAGUAGGUGAGGUAACGGCUCACCUAGGCAGCGAUAAGUAGGGGCCCUGAGAGGGGGAUCCCCCACACUGGUACUGAGACACGGACCAGACUCCUACGGGAGGCAGCAGUGAGGAAUAUUGGACAAUGGGCGGAAGCCUGAUCCAGCCAUGCCGCGUGCAGGAAGACGGCCCUAUGGGUUGUAAACUGCUUUUAUACGGGAAGAAUAAUCACGACGUGUCGUGAGAUGACGGUACCGUAAGAAUAAGGACCGGCUAACUCCGUGCCAGCAGCCGCGGUAAUACGGAGGGUCCGAGCGUUAUCCGGAAUCAUUGGGUUUAAAGGGUCCGCAGGCGGGCAAUUAAGUCAGGGGUGAAAUGGUGCGGCUCAACCGUAGCACUGCCCUUGAUACUGGUUGUCUUGAGUCAUGGUGGAGUGGCCGGAAUAUGUAGUGUAGCGGUGAAAUGCAUAGAUAUUACAUAGAACACCGAUCGCGAAGGCAGGUCACUAACCAUUGACUGACGCUGAUGGACGAAAGCGUGGGGAGCGAACGGGAUUAGAUACCCCGGUAGUCCACGCUGUAAACGAUCUGUACUAGUCUGUGGG
rnacentral:rRNA from 1 species